AUUGAACGCUGGCGGCAGGCCUAUCACAUGCAAGUCGAGCGGAGCGGCGGACGGGUGAGUAUUGCCUAGGAAUCUGCCUGGUAGUGGGGGAUAACGUCCGGAAACGGGCGCUAAUACCGCAUACUAUCAGAUGAGCCUAGGUCGGAUUAGCUAGUUGGUGGGGUAAAGGCCUACCAAGGCGACGAUCCGUAACUGGUCUGAGAGGAUGAUCAGUCACACUGGAACUGAGACACGGUCCAGACUCCUACGGGAGGCAGCAGUGGGGAAUAUUGGACGAUGGGCGAAGGCCUGAUCCAGCCAUGCCGCGUGAAUGAAGAAGGCCGUCGGGUUGUAAAGUUCUUUCGGUAGCGAGGCGUUGACUACAGAAGAGGCACCGGCUAACUCCGUGCCAGCAGCCGCGGUAAUUC
rnacentral:rRNA from 1 species